rnacentral:rRNA from 1 species
CACCGCGGUUAUACGAUAGGCCCAAGCUGAUAGAUUUCGGCGUAAAGGGUGGUUAAGGAAUUAAUAAACUAAAGCGAAACACCCUCAAAAUUGUAAAAAGUACCCGAGGGUAGGAAGAACACCUACGAAAGUGGCUUUACUAAGCUGAAACCACAAAAGCUAUGAAA